GGUCCCAGCCGCUCCGCAGCAUGUGGGAUCUUCCUGGACCGGGGCACGAACCCGUGUCCCCUGCAUUGGCAGGCGGACUCUCAACCACUGCGCCACCAGGGAAGCCCAGUGUCUCAAUUUUAAAUAAAAUUUAAAUAGUUUCUGAAACUUUAAUGAAAUGUUAUUAAAUGGUUUUAUAAAUAAAACUCCUUGCAAUUUUAAUGUUCAACGUCCAUCUUUCUGAUAAGGUAAAGAAUCAGUAACAAUUCACACGUUACUUGUUAUUUCUACAACUAUUUAUACACAACUGUAAGAGUAAUAAUAAGUUACUUAAUAUUGCAAAGUGUUGAACUUUAUGUACCUGUUGUGAAUACCUUACUAUUUGUGAAUCAUUAUGUCAUUUUAAAAUUUAGUCUUAUUUAGUCUCUUUAGAACAGCUCUGCCACCUUUCCUCCUUGACAUUGCCAUUGGAAGAAACCAGAUCACUUGUCUAGUAAGAUGUCCCACAUUCUUGAUUUGUCUGAUUGUUUAACUUGUUCUUUUAACUCCCAUAUUCCUAUUAACUGGAGGUUUAGCCCAAAGGUUUGGCUGGAAACAUGGUAAACAUUUCUUGGCAAGAAUGCUUCAUGGUUAAUGCUGUACAUUUAAUAUUGCAUCCCAUCAGUGAGUACAAAGUGUCAAGUUUGUCACUUGGCUAAGAUGAUAAUGCCAGCUCAAUCAGUUGUAAGAUAUGUUUUUCCUUUACAAUAAGCAAGUAAUCUGUGGGGUGAUAUUUGGUUCUGUGCCAAUAUCAUCUUCAAAAACCUUUACCCAAUGGUUUUAACAUCCUGUCGGAAUUAAUUAUUUCAAUAAGAACUGCAAAAAGAUUUUUCCAAUUAAGUAAUUCCUCCUACAUUUAUUAGCUGGCAUUUUUCUCUAAAGAAGAAUUUUCCCUCAUCAACAGGAGAUAAAUAAUAGUUCUUCCCCAAAGGCAGGAUAAAUGUUUAAUUCUUUACAGAGUGAAGAAAUGUUUACCUAUAAGGGAUGAAGAGGCCAUGGGAACAGGAGAAGGAUGGGAGCAAGACUUCUCUGAGUAUAAUUUUUUUUCUUUUUUUUAACCAUUUAAAAAAAUUAAAGUAUAGUACAAUGUUAUGUUAGUUUCAGGUGUAUAGCAAAGUGAUUGAAUUAUACAUAUGUAUAUAUGAGUAUAAUUCUUAUAGUUUUGAUUUUCUCUUACUAAUGUGUUUUAUAUAUUCAAAAUUAAGUUUAGAAGGAAUAUAAAAUGUAAAUAUCCAAAUUUAACUCCAACAAUCAAAAGGCCUAUUUUUAUUUCAUUUUGGUAGGAUCUAUACAGAGAAUAUAAUUAUUCCAAUGAAUGUUGAAUAUAAUACUCCAUUUGUACUUCCUUAAUAGGAUACAUUCUAAGGACGAAAAGAACUGCAAAGAAAUCUUGAAACUUCACUGGUAAUUUUAUUGCUGAUACGAAUAGAAUUAUGAGGACCCAAGACUUUCACUGCCAGAGAAAAGAUACACAAAUAUAAACCCAGAAGUUCAUAAAAAUCCCUGUAAUAUCAAAUAUGAUUAUAAAUAUUAAUAUGAACUCAUUUAAAAAUAUUUAAGAACAUUUCCUAGUUUUGUCCAUGGAAAGAACAUAGAAUUAAUGAUGCCCCAACUGGUAAAAAUAAGAUUCCCAGGUAUAUAUGAUCUCACUCACAAAAUUGGCACUCUAUGGCAAAACUGCAAAGCUGGUUAAAUCCAGUGCUGUACCCCUCAGGUGCCUGCACCUAUGAAGAUGGACUUACCUGGAGAAAAACACACCACACUAACUGAAUUCAUCACCCUAACCUGAAGUGGGCCUCAAUGAUACCUCACGGUUGAAGUAUAGAUUCUUGGUCCAUUCACUGUGCUACUCUUUGGAUUAUUUCACACUUCUCUUUUCCCCUAUUUCCAAGUCACUUCCUCUAUCCUCACUCUGCCAGUUUUGCUUCCUAAUUCUCUGAGAAGAUGGAAACAAUCAGAAAAGAACUUCCUAGGCUCUCAUCACAUCUACACUAUACAAUCCAAACCAUCACUCACAUGUAGUCUAGCAUCUUUCCUGCUGUUAUAGAACCUCCCUUUCCUCCACAUAGGGAGAACAUCUCAUCCUCUCCCACCUUGCAUAGGGACAUUACGCCAGCAUUCUCCCUCCAUCACCAUUGUCCCUCGCUACUUAAUUAUUCCUAUGAGCAUAUACAUAUGUUAUUUCCCCAUCCUUUAGGAAACUUCUCCUAACCCCACAUUCUCUGCCAGCUACUGCCUUGAUUCUCUGCUUGGCAGAAAAACUCCUCAAAAGAGUUAUCUGUAUGUUCCAUAGGGCCCAUGAAACCACCGUCCAUAUAAAUUUAUGGAAUAUUUUAUCUCUCCAGAAGGUUUCCUCAUGCCCCUCCCUAGUCAACACACCCUCAAAAGGUAAUCACUAUUCUGACUUCCAUCAUUAUUUGUUUUGCCUAAACUACAUAUAAAUGCAUCAUCAGUAUGUACUGUUGUGACUACUUUCACUUAAUAUAAUGUCUGUAAUAUUCAUCUGUUUUGUUGCAAGUAUCAGUAGCUUUUUUUUUAAUUAAAUUACUAAGUAGUAUUCCAUUGAAUAGCUUCUUUUGUGACAGACCUCUUCAGGAAUUUCGCUCAUUUUAAAAAGUUGGAUUAUUGUCAUUUUCUUACUGAUUUAGAGAUGUUGGACGUACGUGUCAUGAAGAUCCUUAAGUCUGUGAUUUGCCUUUUUACCUGCUUAAUUGUGUCUUUUGAUGGGUAUGGUUCUUAAUUUUAAUGAAGUCAGUCUUUUAUGGUUAGUAUUUUUUGUCUUCUAUUUAGGACUGUCUUGAGGAAAUUUUCCUGUUUUACUCUAAAAGCUUUAUUGUUUUACACAUUUAGAACUGUGAUAUAUCUCAAAUUAAAUUUUGUAUACCCUGUUUGGUAGGGGUCAAGUUCCAUUUUGUUCCAUAAAAUAUCCACGUGUUCCAAUACCCCUUAUUGCAAAGCUAUUCAUUCCCUUAUAGACUUGCAUUGAUGUCUGUCAUAAACUGGGUCUUUUUCUGACUAUUCUCUUCCAUUGGUCUAUUUGUAUAUCCUGUGCCAAUCCUACACUGUCUUAACUUCUGUAACUUUGUACUAUGUCUUGAAUUCAAAUACGUUCUUCUCAAGCUUGACUGGGUUCUUCUGGUCCUGAUGUUUUUUGAUACCACAAAUUAAUACAUAUUUAUGCCCCCAAUGCAGAUAAGGCCAAUUUUAUGUUAUCAGCAAUCAGUUGAUAGGAAAAAAAAUAUCUAUAUGGUGCUUGAACAAAUAUUUUGAAAAGCCUCAGAUGGCAAAAUCUCACCAAUAGUAUUUUAAGUGUCCAUAGUUCACCUAUUCUCAUUCCUUCAUUCUCCCCAGUCCAAUCAUGUGUGGAAAUGUACCAGUUUUUAAAGUGAGCGUGAAGUUAUUUCUUUAUACCAGGUCCAUAAUGUUCAUUUUGAGAAUAGUGGUAAGAAGUGGAGGGUUAACAAUGAUUAUCUAUGACAAAAGCACAGAAUAAAGGUAUAGGUAACAAACCCCCGGCUUUAUCCCAUGUUUUAUCAUUGACAGCACCAGGAUCUAUUAAUAAUGUAUUGAGAAGCUUUACAUCUAUAUCAGUGGUUCUCAACUGGGUGGGGGGUGAUUUUUACUUCCUGGGGGACAUUUGACAACGUCUGGAACAUUCUUUUGGUCACAACUGGGGCAGGAAGUGGGACAGAGAGGAAGGUGCUUCUGACUUCUAGUGGGUCCAGACCUAGAAUGUUGCUCAACACCCUACACUGCACCAGACAAAAAAGGAUUAUCCAGCCGAAGAUGUCAGUCUGCAGAGAUUAAGAAACCCUGAUCUAGAUGGUCACAUCUUUCUCCAACAGAAAGAUAUUCAGGUCACUUCACAAUCCCCCUGAUUCUCUUGGUUGCGAUACAUAUCCUUUCCCAGCUGAUAUUCCUAAGAAACCAAAGAACUAGGAAGGCGUGAGGGAAGAGACAUUUCUCAGAUCCAUCGAGGAUUGACUUCUGUUUUCCUGCGCAUGGCCACAUGAUCCAAGGCCUCCACUAUUCCUGUGAAACCCACUUCCAUCUCAGGUCCUUGGCCUUGCUGUUCCCUCUGUACUGGACCCUUCUCCUGGGGGAGCCACAGACUUCAUGCAGUUCUCUUCGGAAGUGGCCACUCCUCAGACUCCAUCCCUUGCCACCCUAAUGAAAACAUACCCCUUGUUGGUUUCCACUUCCUUAUUCAGUUGUUUUUUUCUUUGUCGUGUCAUACAUCAAUUACCUGACUUGUGUAUUUUUUGUAUCCUCCAGUAGAAUAUCAAACUCCUAGAGGGCAGGUCUUAGUUUUGUAUUUGCCUGUGUCCUCCGUGCCUAGGACAAUUCCUUGCCAUAAAUAGGGGACAAAUAUAAUAGGUCCCACUGUAUUGAAUCAUGUGGAAGCAAUAAACAAAGUCUGUAUCCACCAGAAGCCAAAGGAGAGAUAAAAUGAUUUUCAUGAUGUCCUUAUCCUGUGCCCACAUGCCAUCUUCUACCCUUGGAGUAACAGUUCAGUCACUCCAGCUCACCAAGAUCAACAAGGAGAUUUUAUCAUCAAGAAGUCAGAAUUCAGGUGCUGUCCUCACAGUGCAAUGAAAACCCACUAAGAGCCCAAAUGGCAACUUUAUGGGAACACUGCUUUCAGCCUCCUUCAUUUUGGAACAAGAAACAGUGCCCCUUCUCUUGGGAGCUCCUUAGUGAGCUGUGACUCCCUUCAUGGCUGAGAGAGAGGGGGCUGGAGGACACAGGCUGAUUAGGAUGUCAGCUGGGGCAAAGGGAAUCAAAGGUCCUUCUUGUAAGCGUUUUUUGUAAGCACCAUAACAUCAGUUCAAGCCUCCUACACGGUGACGGGGGAAAAGCCCAAGGCUGAAUGGUUUAUUUUGUUGUCUUUACUUCAAUAAUAAAAUAUCAAGUAUAUUUUAGUGGAGAGUUUCUGAUAUACCUUUUAGUAUGUCAGGCUUUUAUCCUGGACUCUAUCCUAACUUGUGAGAAGAUGCUUGAGGCUAGUGCCAAGGGCUGGUGAAGGGAGAGACUAUGUGAUUUUUAUCAUUGUCUGGUGAGAAAAAAAAAAAAUUGGUUCUCUUGUGUCAAAACAGAGCGUUUGCUUUGUACGCACUGCAGCUGAGAAAUGGAAAGGAAUGGAAAGAGGAGGUACCAUCGCUAUACAGGAAUUUUCUUCCUUUAAAAUAUUAGAAUCUCUUAUAUAACACAUGGGCUAUUUUUUUCUGAAUAGCACCUGAAUGUGAGAAGUGUCUCUGUGGAGUAAAUAGAGUAAUCUCUGUGCAAUAAAUUGUGUGUCAGCAUCUUCGUUUUCUGGGUGGCAUGAUGGACUUUCAAAGGUCUUUUCUUUUUUUAAAUUUCUCUUCUCAAAGCCAUACACAUUAGA